rnacentral:rRNA from 1 species
UACAGAGGGUGCUAGCGUUGUUCGGAAUCAUUGGGCGUAAAGAGCGUGUAGGCGGCCAAGCAGGUCCGCUGUGAAAACUCGAGGCUCAACCUCGAGACGUCGGUGGAAACCGUUUGGCUAGAGUCCGGAAGAGGAGAGUGGAAUUCCCGGUGUAGCGGUGAAAUGCGCAGAUAUCGGGAAGAACACCCGUGGCGAAGGCGGCUCUCUGGGACGGUACUGACGCUGAGACGCGAAAGCGUGGGGAGCGAACAGG